GCCCGGAUAGCUGAUUCGGUAGAGCUUUAGGCUUUUAACCCAACGGUCCAGGGUUCGAAUCCCUGUUUGGGCG